UACAUUGUGUUAAAGAACAUUUAAAUGCAUUGUUUUCCCUUUUUUUAUGUUUCAGAACAAGAGCCAAGGACUGAGUUUUGUCCGUAUACAUGCACCUUGGCAAGUCCUCAGUCGAGAAGCAGAACUCCUUAAAAUAAAAAUGCCCACUAAAAAGAUGUAUGAAAUCACAGAAGAAAAGGGAAUAAUCAAAACAUUAAAUGAAAUAUGGUGCAAAUUGACUGAACCUCUGCAACCCCAGGUGCCACAACAAGAAAAUACCAAGAUGAAAACCUUGUCCUACCCGUUUUCCAGAGAGAAAAUAUAUUUGUAUAACAUCAAAGACAAAGACACCUUUUUUGACAAUGCAACCCGCAGCCGAAUAGUGAGGGAAAUUUUGAAGCGCACAUCUACAAAGGCCAGAAGCAGCAUGGGUAAGGUAGAGAGUAAAGAAUUAGAGGUGUUCUUUUGAAAGGAAUUGUUUAGGUAUC
rnacentral:lncRNA from 12 species